CACACGACUCUCGGCAACGGAUAUCUCGGCUCUCGCAUCGAUGAAGAACGUAGCGAAAUGCGAUACCUGGUGUGAAUUGCAGAAUCCCGCGAACCAUCGAGUCUUUGAACGCAAGUUGCGCCYGAGGCCAUUCGGUUGAGGGCACGCCUGCCUGGGCGUCACGC
rnacentral:rRNA from 1 species